AUGGGUCCAAGCAAGGGCCAAGUUCUCGGGCCAGGGAUCGAAUGUUGUCCACAGCAGCCUCCCAAGCCACACCGAUCCUCAAUGCGCUGCCCCCCAAGAAAACUCCCAGGAGGCUUUUCUUCUGAACAUAGAACCUUGCCAGUUCAGGUCCUGAAAUCUGGAUUCAGAGAUGCCAGCCUUCGCUGUCUAUCACCCUGGGCCACUGCCUCUGACUUUCCCCCUGCUCACUGGCUUCGUUUUUGCUGCUUGAGUUCAAGCCCUUUCUGUCUGCACCGCUAAGAUCCAGGAGGCUUCUCAGUUUGCUAUGUGGCUCUGCUAGAUGGCAACGACCUGUGCGGGGGACAGAAGGACCUUUCCCCUCCUUAUCCAGACUCGUGCAGUAUCCCUCUUGUCUCCAUCCUCCUCAGCAUCUCCCCAACCCAAGAUAUGUCCCUCUCCCCUGCCCCAGCAUCUCUGAACACCUCUGUCGUGGGGGUAGAAGGUCCCAGAAGAGCCAGAAGGAGAGGCAGCACCUGAGGUUGGCAACUGGAUGCUGUAAAACUCUCACCAUCUUCCCCGUGCUUGAUGGACGUCAGAUCUGGAGGCAGCCCAUCCACAAACAUCAAAGAGAAAGAACAAAAAUAUAUGUUGUUUGUAUGUUGGUUUGUUUAAUAUCAAGAAGAGUUGAUUUUCAAGCCCAGAGGGACUGAGCAUGAGAGACUCAGCUUAAUCAGAGGGCUCGGGCUUACAUCAUGCCCUGCAAAUAAUAAUAAUAAUAAUCAUAACAUAAUAGUACUAAUGCCUGUGUUACACUCGGAGCUUGAAAUGAUCAGUGACAUUUCCCCUGAAGAGGUUAAACAGCCGGGCUCUCUGGGCUUCGCAUUUGCAUAAUAAAGUUCAGAAGUCACUGCCUUCUACAUCUCUCUUAGCAGAAGCCUCCUGUUCUAGAGUCGGGGACUCCACAUCCUCAUGUGCUUCCAUAUGUGGUCCCGGGCCGUGAUGCUAAUCUUUGACUUGCAUGUGAAAUGUCAGCUUUUUUGCUUUUUUUUUUUUUCCCCGGUCUGCGAGAACAACAAAUUAUGUUUCUAAAUGAGAAGAUACCGUCUGUAAUGGAUAAUACAAUCUGAAAAUGCAGAGGCAACAUCUGUGACCUGUGGGGCGAACCUGGCAAGCUGUAGUCUAUUUUUCUACCCUCUCAGUUGAUGGGAAAACAUCACUUUAGAUAGAAUAAUUAAUCAUUAGUCAAAGUGGAUAUGGCCAUUGGUUCCUCGCCUCUCAGACAUCCCUGCCUUGCCUGGCGUAAAUCAGGGAAAUACAUUCUUUAAUAUCCAAUGGAAUGUAUUUCCAGGCAGCCUCUUUCCUCUAUGAAGUCACCAAACACUUGGCAGAGACUGUCUGUCACCAGCUGAUGGGGGAAGAUGCUCCCAAGGUGCUAUUUGAGGGAAGGAAAAUGCAGAGCCCAGGGGAAGGGACACGGUGAGUUCAAGAUGGCGCCAUGAGUGGUGGCUCUUAGCUGAGUAGUGGCCAGUGUCGGGCCAGCACCAUUCCUCAUCCACGCUCAUUGGCCCCUUUCCCCAUCACUGUGUCCUCAGUCCUCCGUCCACCGCCAAGGCCCUGUCCCAGCGAGCAGGGCAUGCCUUGGCCUGGUCCAUCUUGGUGGCCAGUCCCCCAAAUCUUGACAUCCUUCUGGUUCUUUGAUAACGAUCAACUAAUCAUUUUGGGCCAUUUUCUUUGCUUGAUUCCAGGCUCUCUCUGGGUCCCUUGAAAUAUUUAUAGCACCCAACAUACUCCAAGAAAAUAAAGGAUCUGCCAAGUGUGGAAAGAAAAGAGGGUUGGAAGUCGGAAUGGGAGGCAGGAAUCCAAGGCACCUGGUCAGCCCAGACAAGUGUUUAGAUUUUAUUCUGAGUGAGAUGGAAAGCCACUAGGGAAUGUAGAGACAGCGGACCACAGAUUUCUGUUUUAAGAGCAAAUAACAAAAACCAAAAAGCAUUUGCCAGGAGUUGCUGCUGUCAAGUAAUGGGAUUGUCAGCAUCUUGGGAGUACUGGAUCACAGGUUCCAGCCUCGGCCUGGCACAGUGGGUUGGGGAUCCAGCGUUGCUCAGGUCAUGACUGCGGCUCGGCUCAGAUCUGAUCCCUGGCCUGGGCUCCAUAUUCCUCAGGGUGGCCAAAAAUGGGAAAAAAAAUUUUUUUUUGCAGUUGUCUCAGCUAAUCCACCCAUCGUUGUCAAGGAGCAAAGUCCCAAAAUGUUCACAUUUUUCUUUUGCAUUUAAAGAACAGAACAGGAGUUCCCUGGUGGCCUAGCAGUUAAGGACCCAGUGUUGCCACUACUGUGGCAUGGGCUCAGUUGCUGGCCCGGGAACUUCCACAGGCUAUAGGCGAGGCCAAAAGGCUACACAAAGAAGACAUCAUUUUUUUGUUGUUUUUUUGUUUGUUUGUUUUUUGUCUUUUUAGGGCCGCACCUGUGGUGUAUGGAAGCUCCCAGGCUAGGGGUUGAAUCAGAGCUGUAGCUGCUGGCCUAUGCCAGAGCCACAGCAAUGCCAGAUCCAAGACACAUCUGCGACCUAUACCACAGCUCAUGGCAAUACUGGAUCCUUAACCCACUGAGCGAGGCCAGGGAUCAGGGAUCGAACUGGCAACCUCAUGACUCCUAGUCAGAUUCAUUUCCACUUCACCACGAUGGAAACUCCAAGAAGACAUAGUUCUUAAAUGACUGAGAAGAAAAGACGGAUGUCAAACACACAAAACAUCAGCCUGCCUUUCGUCAUAAAGGCCCUCCUGAUAUUCAAAGCCAGAGAUCAUUAUGGCUGGUUUUGCAAGCCCCUCAAAGCCAGGUGGAGCAGAUUUCUGAAUAGCUUAAGAUUAGGGAGACCUUCUCCAGUUUAAUAAAACAAAUGAAUGCAAAUUCAUUUCACUUGACUGGAAGAAAUUCCUUGCCACACACCAGUUUUAGAAGAGGGGGAGGGGUUGGGGGGGACAUGAAAUCAAAUCACAGAGCCUGCAUUCCAGAAAGGCCCAGAUAGCUGAUUAAAACCGGAAGUCCAAGGAGAGGGUUUGCUAUCUGUAAUUUAUUCAUAAAUUGCCAGCUCUUCCCAGACAACUUUUCAAAUAGAACGUGACACUUGUUUAAAUAUUUACUGGCUUGUUGACCUAUUUUUUUGUUGUUGUUAAUUAGAAUUUUUUUUAUAAAGAAAACAAACAUUGUAACAGCAAAUUAAUCCAGACAGCCUUGACAGUGAGCUAGUUCAGCCAGGCACCGGUUAAGCACUGCGUUGUGAUUUACCAAAAUUACGGUAUCCAAGGGGAGAAAUUAAUUAGAAAUAUCAGAAAUCAUCUGUGAAUGUAAAAAGGUUCAGGUCCACCCCUACCUCCCAUCUGUGGUUAUGAAAUUAGCACGAAAGAUGUAAAACCACUUGUUUAAAAAUAUAAAGCGUUUUCAACCAUUGUUUUUCCGCUAUUUUCCCUGAAAUGUGUGUUUGGCCCCAAACCUCCUUCCCCUCCAAGAAGUGGUUGGCUUAACAAUUCUGUAGCUGUUCCGACAAAACAAAAAAGCUAUUUUAAGACAUGGCG
ensembl:lncRNA